rnacentral:ncRNA from 1 species
UUAAUUAAGCAGGGGUAGCAUUGCUUGAGAAAAACCCUUCGAACCUGAACUAGAUAAUACUAGCGUAGGAAGUCUUAAUCUUUUUUUGA